rnacentral:lncRNA from 1 species
GACGCUCUCGACUCAGCCGUCUGGCCGCCCGGCUAGACGGGCUCGUGCAGACAGCCAGACGCACAAAAAGCUGCCCUUGACCGAAGCGUCAGUGAAUUCGACAAAAAGCGAUGGCAAAAAGCCCGUGUUGCGCCGUCUGGAGAUUUUUUGCCGUGGUUUUUCUCUGGUCCGCACCUGCGCGUUGCUGGUCUGCUCGCUGGGUUUGUCCCAGUACCCCAGAUCGGCCGGCAGUCGGGUGCCAGCAGAAACUUUGUGCAGACGCGAAUUCUACGCUCAAGUUCUACUACUGCACAGCAGAUGACCGUGUCAUGUCUCAAUCGAAGAGUUGAGGCACAGUUGGGGGCAGCAUGACGAGCAUACCUAUCAAACUAGAUUGAUCGACAAUGUAGAUGCAUGAAAAGUAAAGCAAACUAAAUGCAUUGGAUGGCAAACCAUCCAGAGAUUGAAGGAUGCUGCAAGAGGAAGCUACUCAAAACAGCGGGGAAAAAAAGAAAACCAGUAUUACAGCUGGCCACAAUGAUGGAGUGAAGGCUUCGCCGCACAACAAACGACACUCAAGAUGGUGACUUAAACUUUUCAGGUUACCACUGGGCAUCAUUGGCGAACACCAUAACCGGCGCGGUCCACGGUUCCACCAGCAUUCUGCGCGACACGCCCGCCUGCCUGCCUACCAUAUCUGGAGACUCUAUUAAUAAUGCUUGUCUUCAUGAUUACUAUCAUUGGAACCAGUCCACCCAGCCGGCCUAUCCGCCCAACUUCUAUCUGGGUAACGCCCGUCGGGUCGGAUGAAAGGCCUAAUUAGCCUGGAUUGACUGAAUGGUGACGAUACUUGUAUAACUAGGCGACAAGCGUGGGUUGAGUGUGGGUGGUUCACUGGUAUCAUUGGCGUGUGGGUGGUGAAUUAAGUGACACCAAACUUAUGAGUGUGGUGAUGUCAUAGGGAUUGUUAGCGUGGAAUAUUGUCAUGGGUGUGUGUUGGAGUGGUGUCAUAAGCUUUGAGCAUGGGUGAACCAGUAUGCCACAGGUAAUGAAGAGUGGGUAGCGAUGAAUGCACUGGAUGGACGAAUCGUUAGAGUCUUCGCCUGUCUACAAAUCGCAGUGAUCGCUGACCCAUCCGCCUCCAGCCCACGCCGUUUGCGCUCCGGCAGAGCCCGCCCAAUGAAAGCAGACCGCUGUCGACUGUGUGUGAGCGGUCGCGUUGGGUUGGUGGUGUCGCCUUACUGAGCACACACCAUCGAACUGGAGUCAGCGGAGAUCGCGACGGCGAACGGCUGCAGAGUUAGUGACCAGCGCGGCGUAGAGCGGCUCCAGAGCGUGAGCUCAGGCCAGCUAUGACUGAGGGAUUUGGGGAAUGCAGCCAACUUACUUCUGGAUAUCUGAUGUGUCGCAGAUAUCCAGAAUCUCAAUUUACAUUCUUUCUUUGGAAAAUAAAAAAGAUAAAUGCUAGAUUUAGAAGUCAGCAACUGAACGGGAUCGCUCAUCUACCAGAUCGUUCUAGUCAUUUAGCAUAUCUCAGGGCAAUGAAUGAUAAGGAGAUGGUAAUAAACAAUGGUGUGCAAGUGCAUUUACCUUAUGUUGUAUGGAUGUUGCGAAAGAUUGUGUUGGAUGUACGAAAGUGGCGUGGUGCGUGGCUGAGUGUUGUUUGCGAAUCGCUAUAUGUCAUGCUGCUGAU